GUAGGUGGCAAGCGUUGUCCGGAAUUAUUGGGCGUAAAGCGCGCGCAGGCGGUUCUUUAAGUCUGAUGUGAAAGCCCACGGGCUCAACCGUGGAGGGUCAUUGGAAACUGGAGAACUUGAGUACAGAAGAGGAAAGCGGAAUUCCACGUGUAGCGGUGAAAUGCGUAGAGAUGUGGAGGAACACCAGUGGCGAAGGCGGCUUUCUGGUCUGUAACUGACGCUGAGGCGCGAAAGCGUGGGGAGCAAACAGGAUUAGAUACCCUGGUAGUCCACGCCGUAAACGAUGAGUGCUAAGUGUUAGGGGGUUUCCGCCCCCUAGUGCUGCAGCUAACGCAUUAAGCACUCCGCCUGGGGAGUACGGCCGCAAGGCUG
rnacentral:rRNA from 1 species